rnacentral:rRNA from 1 species
CGUGUAGGCGGACUGUUAAGUCUGAUGUGAAAGCCCGGGGCUCAACCCCGGAAGUGCAUUGGAUACUGGCAGUCUUGAGUAUGGGAGAGGAAAGUGGAAUUCCGAGUGUAGGGGUGAAAUCCGUAGAUAUUCGGAGGAACACCAGUGGCGAAGGCGGCUUUCUGGACCAAUACUGACGCUGAGACGCGAAAGCGUGGGGAGCAAACAGGAUUAGAUACCCUGGUAGUCC